CAUGCAGUCGAGCGGGCCCUUCGGGGUCAGCGGCGGACGGGUGAGUAACGCGUGGGAACGUGCCUUCUGGUUCGGAAUAACUCAGGGAAACUUGAGCUAAUACCGGAUACGCCCUUUUGGGGAAAGGUUUACUGCCGGAAAAUCGGCCCGCGUCUGAUUAACUAGUUGGUGGGGUAACGGCCUACCAAGGCGACGAUCAAUAACUGGUCUGAAAGGAUGAUCAGCCACACUGGGACUGAAACACGGCCCAAACUCCUACGGGAGGCAGCAGUGGGGAAUAUUGGACAAUGGGCGCAAGCCUGAUCCAGCCAUGCCGCGUGAGUGAUGAAGGCCUUAAGGUUGUAAAGCUCUUUUAUCCGGGACGAUAAUGACGGUACCGGAGGAAUAAGCCCCGGCUAACUUCCUGCCAGCAGCCGCGGUAAUACCAAGGGGGCUAGCGUUGCUCGGAAUCACUGGGCGUAAAGGGCGCGUAAGCGGCGUUUUAAGUUGGGGGUGAAAGCCUGUGGCUCAACCACAGAAUUGCCUUCCAUACUGGGACGCUUGAGUGUGGUAAAGGUUGGUGGAACUGCGAGUGUAGAGGUGAAAUUCGUAAAUAUUCGCAAGAACACCGGUGGCGAAGGCGGCCAACUGGACCAUCACUGACGCUGAGGCGCGAAAGCGUGGGGAGCAAACAGGAUUAGAUACCCUGGUAAUCCACGCCGUAAACGAUGAAUGCCAGCCGUUGGGGGGCUUGCCUUUCAGUGGCGCAGCUAACGCUUUGAGCAUUCCGCCUGGGGGAGUACGGUCGCAAGAUUAAAAACUCAAAGGAAUUGACGGGGGCCCGC
rnacentral:rRNA from 1 species